rnacentral:rRNA from 1 species
GAUGAACGCUGGCGGCGUGCCUAAUACAUGCAAGUCGAGCGAACAGACGAGGUGCUUGCUCCUCUGACUUUAGCGGCGGACGGGUGAGUAACACGUGGAUAACCUACCUAUCAGAGUGGGAUAACUUCGGGAAACGGGAGCUAAUACCGGAUAAGAUGUUGAACCGCAUGGUUCAACAGUGAAAGAAGGUCUUGGUGUCACCUAUUGGUGGGUCCGGGGCGCAUUAGCUAGUUGGUAAGGUAACGGGUUACCAAGGCAACGAUGCAUAGCCGACCUGAGAGGGUGAUCGGCCACACUGGAACUGAGACACGGCCCAGACUCCUACGGGAGGCAGCAGUAGGGAAUCUUCCGCAAUGGGCGAAAGUCUGACGGAGCAACGCCGCGUGAGUGAAGAAGGUUUUCGGAUCGUAAAACUCUGUUAUUAGGGAAGAACAAAUGUUUAAGUAACUAUGCACGUCUUGACGGUACCUAAUCAGAAAGCCACGGCUAACUACGUG